GUCAGCAUGGUAUAGUGGUUUGAGUAUUGGACUAUGACUAUGACUCUGGAGGCCAGGGUUCGAUUCCCAGCUCAGCCA